GAUGAAGAACGCAGCGAAAUGCGAUACGUAGUGUGAAUUGCAGAAUCCAGUGAAUCAUCGAAUCUUUGAACGCACAUUGCGCCCGCCAGUAUUCUGGCGGGCAUGCCUGUUCGAGCGUCAUUUCAACCCUCAAGCCCCCGGGCUUGGUGUUGGGGAUCGGCGUGCCCUCGCGGCGCGCCGUCCCCUAAAUCUAGUGGCGGUCUCGCUGUAGCUUCCUCUGCGUAGUAGCAACACUCGCACUGGAUCGCAGCGCGGCCACGCCGUUAAACCCCCCACUUCUGAAAGUUUGACCUCGGAUCAGGUAGGAAUACCCGCUGAACUUAAGCAUAUCAAUAAGCGGAGGA
rnacentral:misc_RNA from 1 species